UAGUGGUUGUUUCUGAGAGAAAAAUUCAGAACGUUAUUUGUAUUGUUAUUAGUCAUGUUCCGGAUUUGAAUCCUUAUUUCAAAAUUCGGGGUGUGACACUGGGGUCAACAUUUUUGUUGGGUUUUGGUGAAAAUUUGACUACCCAGUGAAAAAGCUUGGGACUUUGAUUCGAUCUUGGUAUGAAUUGAGGGAAUUGUGGUUGAUAUGUGUACCCAAAUGGAAUGACAGUGAGGAAGUAAUGAGUGUUGUGCGAAUUAGGUUGAAUGAAGAGAAUUGGAUUGUGGUUGAGUAGCUUUGUUUGGUCAAUGCUUGAGUUUUUGUAAAUUUUUGAUUGGUUGGUGAGUGGUAUAUGAUCCAAUUGUGUUUUGCAAGGGGCUGUGAGGUAGAUCUGGAGAAGGGUAAUCGAUUUUUCAGUGAAUCUUGAAGAGUAGAAAGCUGGCAACCACAGCGGAAAAUGCACAUGGAUUGAAAUUCUUCUACUUGGGAAAAAUGAAUGCAGCUUGGUCAUUAAUCCCAUAUUGAAGGAAGCUGAGGAAACCAUGAAUUUUCACUCUAAGAAAGAGGAGGUCUUACUAGCUUGGUUAUCUGGGCUUCACUUUGAAAUGCAGUGGUACUUCACGACUUUAUGAUUGCAACUACUGGGAAGUAUUGGCAGUGCUGCUCAAAACUAGUGUAUGCUCCUCUAUGUAGAGCAUGAGGAGACCAAGCUACAACAUGAGGGUUCUAAAGAUACUAAUGCUGCUAUGCUUAGAUGAUUUUUGUACUUUAAUUUUGGCCUUUAUGUUUAGGCAUAUAUAGGCAGGGUUAAUUAGUAUGUGUUAAUGUGGGAUGAACAUACUAUUGAUGGAAUAAUUUUUUUUUGGAAUCAAUGGAUGUGUUUUAAUUUGGAUGUGUUA